rnacentral:rRNA from 1 species
GGUUAAGCGACUAAGCGUACACGGUGGAUGCCCUGGCAGUCAGAGGCGAUGAAGGACGUGCUAAUCUGCGAUAAGCGUCGGUAAGGUGAUAUGAACCGUUAUAACCGGCGAUUUCCGAAUGGGGAAACCCAGUGUGUUUCGACACACUAUCAUUAACUGAAUCCAUAGGUUAAUGAGGCGAACCGGGGGAACUGAAACAUCUAAGUACCCCGAGGAAAAGAAAUCAACCGAGAUUCCCCCAGUAGCGGCGAGCGAACGGGGAGCAGCCCAGAGCCUGAAUCAGUGUGUGUGUUAGUGGAAGCGUCUGGAAAGGCGCGCGAUACAGGGUGACAGCCCCGUACACAAAAAUGCACAUGCUGUGAGCUCGAUGAGUAGGGCGGGACACGUGGUAUCCUGUCUGAAUAUGGGGGGACCAUCCUCCAAGGCUAAAUACUCCUGACUGACCGAUAGUGAACCAGUACCGUGAGGGAAAGGCGAAAAGAACCCCGGCGAGGGGAGUGAAAAAGAACCUGAAACCGUGUACGUACAAGCAGUGGGAGCCUCUUUUAUGGGGUGACUGCGUACCUUUUGUAUAAUGGGUCAGCGACUUAUAUUCUGUAGCAAGGUUAACCGAAUAGGGGAGCCGAAGGGAAACCGAGUCUUAACUGGGCGUUAAGUUGCAGGGUAUAGACCCGAAACCCGGUGAUCUAGCCAUGGGCAGGUUGAAGGUUGGGUAACACUAACUGGAGGACCGAACCGACUAAUGUUGAAAAAUUAGCGGAUGACUUGUGGCUGGGGGUGAAAGGCCAAUCAAACCGGGAGAUAGCUGGUUCUCCCCGAAAGCUAUUUAGGUAGCGCCUCGUGAAUUCAUCUCCGGGGGUAGAGCACUGUUUCGGCAAGGGGGUCAUCCCGACUUACCAACCCGAUGCAAACUGCGAAUACCGGAGAAUGUUAUCACGGGAGACACACGGCGGGUGCUAACGUCCGUCGUGAAGAGGGAAACAACCCAGACCGCCAGCUAAGGUCCCAAAGUCAUGGUUAAGUGGGAAACGAUGUGGGAAGGCCCAGACAGCCAGGAUGUUGGCUUAGAAGCAGCCAUCAUUUAAAGAAAGCGUAAUAGCUCACUGGUCGAGUCGGCCUGCGCGGAAGAUGUAACGGGGCUAAACCAUGCACCGAAGCUGCGGCAGCGACACUGUGUGUUGUUGGGUAGGGGAGCGUUCUGUAAGCCUGUGAAGGUGUGCUGUGAGGCAUGCUGGAGGUAUCAGAAGUGCGAAUGCUGACAUAAGUAACGAUAAAGCGGGUGAAAAGCCCGCUCGCCGGAAGACCAAGGGUUCCUGUCCAACGUUAAUCGGGGCAGGGUGAGUCGACCCCUAAGGCGAGGCCGAAAGGCGUAGUCGAUGGGAAACAGGUUAAUAUUCCUGUACUUGGUGUUACUGCGAAGGGGGGACGGAGAAGGCUAUGUUGGCCGGGCGACGGUUGUCCCGGUUUAAGCGUGUAGGCUGGUUUUCCAGGCAAAUCCGGAAAAUCAAGGCUGAGGCGUGAUGACGAGGCACUACGGUGCUGAAGCAACAAAUGCCCUGCUUCCAGGAAAAGCCUCUAAGCAUCAGGUAACAUCAAAUCGUACCCCAAACCGACACAGGUGGUCAGGUAGAGAAUACCAAGGCGCUUGAGAGAACUCGGGUGAAGGAACUAGGCAAAAUGGUGCCGUAACUUCGGGAGAAGGCACGCUGAUAUGUAGGUGAAGUCCCUCGCGGAUGGAGCUGAAAUCAGUCGAAGAUACCAGCUGGCUGCAACUGUUUAUUAAAAACACAGCACUGUGCAAACACGAAAGUGGACGUAUACGGUGUGACGCCUGCCCGGUGCCGGAAGGUUAAUUGAUGGGGUCAGCGCAAGCGAAGCUCUUGAUCGAAGCCCCGGUAAACGGCGGCCGUAACUAUAACGGUCCUAAGGUAGCGAAAUUCCUUGUCGGGUAAGUUCCGACCUGCACGAAUGGCGUAAUGAUGGCCAGGCUGUCUCCACCCGAGACUCAGUGAAAUUGAACUCGCUGUGAAGAUGCAGUGUACCCGCGGCAAGACGGAAAGACCCCGUGAACCUUUACUAUAGCUUGACACUGAACAUUGAGCCUUGAUGUGUAGGAUAGGUGGGAGGCUUAGAAGUGUGGACGCCAGUCUGCAUGGAGCCGACCUUGAAAUACCACCCUUUAAUGUUUGAUGUUCUAACGUUGACCCGUAAUCCGGGUUGCGGACAGUGUCUGGUGGGUAGUUUGACUGGGGCGGUCUCCUCCUAAAGAGUAACGGAGGAGCACGAAGGUUGGCUAAUCCUGGUCGGACAUCAGGAGGUUAGUGCAAUGGCAUAAGCCAGCUUGACUGCGAGCGUGACGGCGCGAGCAGGUGCGAAAGCAGGUCAUAGUGAUCCGGUGGUUCUGAAUGGAAGGGCCAUCGCUCAACGGAUAAAAGGUACUCCGGGGAUAACAGGCUGAUACCGCCCAAGAGUUCAUAUCGACGGCGGUGUUUGGCACCUCGAUGUCGGCUCAUCACAUCCUGGGGCUGAAGUAGGUCCCAAGGGUAUGGCUGUUCGCCAUUUAAAGUGGUACGCGAGCUGGGUUUAGAACGUCGUGAGACAGUUCGGUCCCUAUCUGCCGUGGGCGCUGGAGAACUGAGGGGGGCUGCUCCUAGUACGAGAGGACCGGAGUGGACGCAUCACUGGUGUUCGGGUUGUCAUGCCAAUGGCACUGCCCGGUAGCUAAAUGCGGAAGAGAUAAGUGCUGAAAGCAUCUAAGCACGAAACUUGCCCCGAGAUGAGUUCUCCCUGACCCUUUAAGGGUCCUGAAGGAACGUUGAAGACGACGACGUUGAUAGGCCGGGUGUGUAAGCGCAGCGAUGCGUUGAGCUAACCGGUACUAAUGAACCGUGAGGCUUAACCUU